CCUACGGGUGGCAGCAGUGGGGAAUAUUGGGCAAUGGGCGCAAGCCUGAACCAGCAACGCCGCGUGAAGGAAGAAGGCUUUCGGGUUGUAAACUUCUUUUCUCAGGGACGAAGCAAGUGACGGUACCUGAAGCAUAAGCCACGGCUAACUACGUGCCAGCAGCCGCGGUAAUACGGGGGAGGCAAGAGUUAUCCGGAGUUAUUGGGUUUAAAGGGUGCGUAGGCUGUGAGGUAAGUCAGAUGGGAAAUGCCCCCGCUCAACGGGGUGAAGUUCCAGUGAUACUGCCUUGCGGGAGUGCGGGUGCCGUGGGAGGAAUGUGUGGUGUAGCGGUGAAAUGCAUAGAUAUCACACAGAACACCGAUUGCGAAGGCAUCUCACGAAUCCGCGAUUGACGCUGAUGCACGAAAGCGUGGGUAUCAAACAGGAUUAGAUACCCCAGUAGUC
rnacentral:rRNA from 1 species